GGGUUGUGAGGUUAAGCGACUAAGCGUACACGGUGGAUGCCCUGGCAGUCAGAGGCGAUGAAGGACGUGCUAAUCUGCGAUAAGCGUCGGUAAGGUGAUAUGAACCGUUAUAACCGGCGAUUUCCGAAUGGGGAAACCCAGUGUGUUUCGACACACUAUCAUUAACUGAAUCCAUAGGUUAAUGAGGCGAACCGGGGGAACUGAAACAUCUAAGUACCCCGAGGAAAAGAAAUCAACCGAGAUUCCCCAGUAGCGGCGAGCGAACGGGGAGGAGCCCAGAGCCUGAAUCAGUGUGUGUGUUAGUGGAAGCGUCUGGAAAGGCGCGCGAUACAGGGUGACAGCCCCGUACACAAAAAUGCACAUGCUGUGAGCUCGAUGAGUAGGGCGGGACACGUGGUAUCCUGUCUGAAUAUGGGGGACCAUCCUCCAAGGCUAAAUACUCCUGACUGACCGAUAGUGAACCAGUACCGUGAGGGAAAGGCGAAAAGAACCCCGGCGAGGGGAGUGAAAAAGAACCUGAAACCGUGUACGUACAAGCAGUGGGAGCCUCUUAAUGGGGUGACUGCGUACCUUUUGUAUAAUGGGUCAGCGACUUAUAUUCUGUAGCAAGGUUAACCGAAUAGGGGAGCCGAAGGGAAACCGAGUCUUAACUGGGCGUUAAGUUGCAGGGUAUAGACCCGAAACCCGGUGAUCUAGCCAUGGGCAGGUUGAAGGUUGGGUAACACUAACUGGAGGACCGAACCGACUAAUGUUGAAAAAUUAGCGGAUGACUUGUGGCUGGGGGUGAAAGGCCAAUCAAACCGGGAGAUAGCUGGUUCUCCCCGAAAGCUAUUUAGGUAGCGCCUCGUGAAUUCAUCUCCGGGGGUAGAGCACUGUUUCGGCAAGGGGGUCAUCCCGACUUACCAACCCGAUGCAAACUGCGAAUACCGGAGAAUGUUAUCACGGGAGACACACGGCGGGUGCUAACGUCCGUCGUGAAGAGGGAAACAACCCAGACCGCCAGCUAAGGUCCCAAAGUCAUGGUUAAGUGGGAAACGAUGUGGGAAGGCCCAGACAGCCAGGAUGUUGGCUUAGAAGCAGCCAUCAUUUAAAGAAAGCGUAAUAGCUCACUGGUCGAGUCGGCCUGCGCGGAAGAUGUAACGGGGCUAAACCAUGCACCGAAGCUGCGGCAGCGACGUUUAUGCGUUGUUGGGUAGGGGAGCGUUCUGUAAGCCUGCGAAGGUGUACUGUGAGGUAUGCUGGAGGUAUCAGAAGUGCGAAUGCUGACAUAAGUAACGAUAAAGCGGGUGAAAAGCCCGCUCGCCGGAAGACCAAGGGUUCCUGUCCAACGUUAAUCGGGCAGGGUGAGUCGACCCCUAAGGCGAGGCCGAAAGGCGUAGUCGAUGGGAAACAGGUUAAUAUUCCUGUACUUGGUGUUACUGCGAAGGGGGACGGAGAAGGCUAUGUUGGCCGGGCGACGGUUGUCCCGGUUUAAGCGUGUAGGCUGGUUUUCCAGGCAAAUCCGGAAAAUCAAGGCUGAGGCGUGAUGACGAGGCACUACGGUGCUGAAGCAACAAAUGCCCUGCUUCCAGGAAAAGCCUCUAAGCAUCAGGUAACAUCAAAUCGUACCCCAAACCGACACAGGUGGUCAGGUAGAGAAUACCAAGGCGCUUGAGAGAACUCGGGUGAAGGAACUAGGCAAAAUGGUGCCGUAACUUCGGGAGAAGGCACGCUGAUAUGUAGGUGAAGUCCCUUGCGGAUGGAGCUGAAAUCAGUCGAAGAUACCAGCUGGCUGCAACUGUUUAUUAAAAACACAGCACUGUGCAAACACGAAAGUGGACGUAUACGGUGUGACGCCUGCCCGGUGCCGGAAGGUUAAUUGAUGGGGUUAGCGGUAACGCGAAGCUCUUGAUCGAAGCCCCGGUAAACGGCGGCCGUAACUAUAACGGUCCUAAGGUAGCGAAAUUCCUUGUCGGGUAAGUUCCGACCUGCACGAAUGGCGUAAUGAUGGCCAGGCUGUCUCCACCCGAGACUCAGUGAAAUUGAACUCGCUGUGAAGAUGCAGUGUACCCGCGGCAAGACGGAAAGACCCCGUGAACCUUUACUAUAGCUUGACACUGAACAUUGAGCCUUGAUGUGUAGGAUAGGUGGGAGGCUUUGAAGUGUGGACGCCAGUCUGCAUGGAGCCGGCCUUGAAAUACCACCCUUUAAUGUUUGAUGUUCUAACGUUGGCCCCUUACCGGGGUUGCGGACAGUGUCUGGUGGGUAGUUUGACUGGGGCGGUCUCCUCCUAAAGAGUAACGGAGGAGCACGAAGGUUGGCUAAUCCUGGUCGGACAUCAGGAGGUUAGUGCAAUGGCAUAAGCCAGCUUGACUGCGAGCGUGACGGCGCGAGCAGGUGCGAAAGCAGGUCAUAGUGAUCCGGUGGUUCUGAAUGGAAGGGCCAUCGCUCAACGGAUAAAAGGUACUCCGGGGAUAACAGGCUGAUACCGCCCAAGAGUUCAUAUCGACGGCGGUGUUUGGCACCUCGAUGUCGGCUCAUCACAUCCUGGGGCUGAAGUAGGUCCCAAGGGUAUGGCUGUUCGCCAUUUAAAGUGGUACGCGAGCUGGGUUUAGAACGUCGUGAGACAGUUCGGUCCCUAUCUGCCGUGGGCGCUGGAGAACUGAGGGGGGCUGCUCCUAGUACGAGAGGACCGGAGUGGACGCAUCACUGGUGUUCGGGUUGUCAUGCCAAUGGCACUGCCCGGUAGCUAAAUGCGGAAGAGAUAAGUGCUGAAAGCAUCUAAGCACGAAACUUGCCCCGAGAUGAGUUCUCCCUGACCCUUUAAGGGUCCUGAAGGAACGUUGAAGACGACGACGUUGAUAGGCCGGGUGUGUAAGCGCAGCGAUGCGUUGAGCUAACCGGUACUAAUGAACCGUGAGGCUUAACCUUACAACGCCGAAGGUGUUU
rnacentral:rRNA from 1 species